rnacentral:ribozyme from 14 species
CAGUUACAAGGAAAAAAAGAAAAAAAAAAGGUUUUGGUUGGGCGCCCAACACUUGAUUUGAUUUUGGUCGUGCUUACUGUAUUUUUUUCUCUCUGUUUUUCGCAAGCUUUUUUUCAUCUUAU